rnacentral:rRNA from 1 species
AGCGAACGCUGGCGGCAGGCUUAACACAUGCAAGUCGAGCGGGCAUCUUCGGGUGUCAGCGGCGGACGGGUGAGUAACGCGUGGGAACGUGCCUUCUGGUUCGGAAUAACUCAGGGAAACUUGAGCUAAUACCGGAUACGCCCUUUUGGGGAAGGGUUUACUGCCGGAAGAUCGGCCCGCGCCUGAUUAGCUAGUUGGUGGGGUAACGGCCGACCAAGGCGACGAACAGUAGCUGGUCUGAGAGGAUGAUGAGCCACACUGGGACUGGGACACGGGCCAGACUCCUACGGGAGGGAGCAGUGGGGAAUAUUGGACAAUGGGGGCAACCCUGAUCCAGCCAUGCCGCGUGAGUGAUGAAGGCCUGAGGGUUGUAAAGCUCUUUUAUCCGGGACGAUAAUGACGGUACCGGAGGAAUAAGCCCCGGCUAACUUCGUGCCAGCCGCCGCCGUAA